GUAUAGAGCAAGCCUAGAAGAAUUUCCGCUUUGUUAGAGACUGAGGCCUACGAAAGUCCAGAAGUAGCUAUCAGCUUAUCAUCAUGCAAGUCCAUCCACCACAUUCACCAAAGCUCAGGAAUAAGUAGUGUGGAGUAAUGCUUCUUCAGUUCAUGCUUUCACUCCCAAAAGUAAUUAAUGUUAAAGCAUCCCUGGAUAAUUAUAAUAUCUCUAUUGUAUGACAAGAUAAUUGGCAUCACUAUGGAAAGCAUCACCAGCAGUAGGAGCUCAAGCUUCCUAACUUCAACCUGUUCCUCAGCAAUGGGGUUUUUCAGCCCAAGGUAAAUCAUGCCAACUACAACCAGCACUACUGCCAAAAAGACUAGGAUGGCUGUAAAAACACCAAAUGCAUAUGGUGUAUUUUCUCCCCCAGGUAUUCCAUCAACGUUAAUCCCAAAUAACCCAGUAAUGAUGGUGAGAACAACACCAACGCCACCAAACACUGCUAAGUUAUGGGUUACCCGAAGGCUUCUAUCCUGGAUAGAGAUUCAGUAGAUGCAAGACAAUUAUCAUGUUAAUCUAGGGUGAGCAAUAUAAAGUUGUUCUAGCUACUGUCUGAAAAUAAACAAAAGCAUCCUAAAUGAAAGUUCUGAAACCUGCAACCAAGCUCGAACAGUGCUUUGCAUAACAUCUUGAAUGGUAAACAAGCGACCGCGAACUGCUUCUUGCUCCUCAAUCAUUUCUCUUGUGCUCUUUUUUAUUCCCUCUAACAGGCUUCUUGCUCCAUUUCCUUUUAGAUGUUGGAGAAGCUCAAAGACAAUCUCCUCUCUUGCAUGGAGGGACCACUUCACUCUGAUAACCUGCAAUGAAACACAAAAGUUGACAAAAAGCACAUGCAAAACAUUGUUGACAACUAAAAGUCCUAAAAGCUUAAGCUGUUAAGUAGCAGCCCUUAACUCAUUAAUCCAGCUUCUGGAAAGGAUAAGCAAUAAAAAGCCUUAUCUGGUAAACAUCUAUAAGGAGGAGGAAGAUUGUGAUGCAAGAGAUAUGUAAUUAUUAGGGAAAUGCUAUAUUGGUAUUAUGUUAGUUGUUUUACAUAAGUACAGAGACCAGCUGACUCUUGGCUUCGAAAGAGUUGUUCAGCUUGACAACAUAAGAAAUGUUUUCUUUGUUUGAA